rnacentral:rRNA from 1 species
ACCUACGGGGGGCAGCAGUAGGGAAUCUUCCACAAUGGACGAAAGUCUGAUGGAGCAACGCCGCGUGAGUGAAGAAGGGUUUCGGCUCGUAAGCUCUGUUGGUAGUGAAGAAAGAUAGAGGUAGUAACUGGCCUUUAUUUGACGGUAAUUACUUAGAAAGUCACGGCUAACUACGUGCCAGCAGCCGCGGUAAUACGUAGGUGGCAAGCGUUGUCCGGAUUUAUUGGGCGUAAAGCGAGUGCAGGCGGUUUAAUAAGUUUGAUGUGAAAGGAUUUGGGUCAAACGGAGAAUUGUAUUAGAAAAUG